rfam:Brachypodium distachyon strain Bd21 chromosome 4, whole genome shotgun sequence.
GUACUACUUUCUCCGUACAACAAAAGAUGUCUCAACUUUGACUAAAUUUGAAUGCAUCUAUACACUAGGUCAUGUCUACAUACAUUCAAAUUUUGAUAAAUUUGAAACAUCUUUUGUUGGGCGGAGGGGUAGUUU